AGAGGGAACCCGGUGAGAAUCCGGGACUGUCCCGCAACGGUAUGCAGGAACGACCGCCGUCAGAGUUUUUGGCAAGCACUGGUCGCAAGACUGGGAAGCGACGGCCACUAGUACACCUGCCCGGCUCCUCAGCGGCCCGUUUUCGGGCCGCAUCGUCGGCCGGGCGGAGCACCGCACGGUGCACGCCUGCGAGUCCGGAGACCU
rnacentral:ncRNA from 2 species